rnacentral:rRNA from 1 species
CUACGGGACGCACCAGUGAGGAAUAUUGCACAAUGGGGGGAACCCUGAUGCAGCAACGCCGCGUGGAGGAUGACGCAUUUCGGUGUGUAAACUCCUUUUAUAUGUCAAGAAAAUGACGGUAGCAUAUGAAUAAGCACCGGCUAACUCCGUGCCAGCAGCCGCGGUAAUACGGAGGGUGCAAGCGUUACUCGGAAUCACUGGGCGUAAAGGACGCGAAGGCGGGUUGGAAAGUCAGGUGUGAAAUCCUACAGCUUAACUGUAGAACUGCACUUGAAACUUCUAAUCUAGAGUAUGGGAGGGGAGAUGGAAUUAGUGGUGUAGGGGUAAGAUCCGUAGAUAUCACUAGGAAUACCUAAAGCGAAGGCGAUCUCCUGGAACAUUACUGACGCUAAGGCGUGAAAGCGCGGGGAGCAAACAGGAUUAGAUACCCGAGUAGUC